CCGAGGUCCCGAGCGUUAGGCGGAAUCACUGGGCUUAAAGCGUGUGUAGGCGGCGGCCUAAGUACCUUGUGAAAUCCCACGGCUCACCCGUGGAACUGCUCGGUAUACUGGGUCGCUUGAGCCACUUAGGGGCUACCGGAACAAAUGGUGGAGCGGUGAAAUGCGUAGAUAUCAUUUGGAACGCCAAUGGUGAAAACAGGUAGCUGGGAGUGUGCUGACGCUGAGACACGAAAGCCAGGGGAGCAAACGGG
rnacentral:rRNA from 1 species